CCUACGGGUGGCAGCAGUGGGGGAUAUUGCACAAUGGGGGAAACCCUGAUGCAGCGACGCCGCGUGUGGGAAGACGGUCCUCUGGAUUGUAAACCACUUUCCCCAGGGACGAAGAUGACGGUACCGGGGGAGGAAGCUCCGGCUAACUACGUACCAGCAGCCGCGGUAAUACGUAGGGAGCGAGCGUUGUCCGGAGUUACUGGGUGUAAAGGGAGCGUAGGCGGGACUGCAAGUUGGGGGUAAAAGCUACGGGCUCAACCGGUAGCCGCACUCAAAACUGCAGUUCUUGAGUGAAGUAGAGGCAGGCGGAAUUCCUAGUGUAGCGGUGAAAUGCGUAGAUAUUAGGAGGAACACCAGUGGCGAAGGCGGCCUGCUGGGCUUUUACUGACGCUGAGGCUCGAAAGUGUGGGGAGCAAACAGGAUUAGAUACCCUGGUAGUC
rnacentral:rRNA from 1 species